rnacentral:rRNA from 1 species
ACGGGUGAGUAACACGUAAGGAACCUGCCUCAAGGAUUGGGAUAACUCCGAGAAAUCGGAGCUAAUACCGGAUAGUUCAACGGACCGCAUGGUCCGCUGAUGAAAGGCGCUCCGGCGUCACCUUGAGAUGGCCUUGCGGUGCAUUAGCUAGUUGGUGGGGUAACGGCCCACCAAGGCGACGAUGCAUAGCCGACCUGAGAGGGUGAUCGGCCACACUGGGACUGAGACACGGCCCAGACUCCUACGGGAGGCAGCAGUAGGGAAUCUUCCACAAUGGACGAAAGUCUGAUGGAGCAACGCCGCGUGAGUGAUGAAGGUUUUCGGAUCGUAAAACUCUGUUGUAAGGGAAGAACACGUACGAGAGGAAAUGCUCGUACCUUGACGGUACCUUACGAGAAAGCCACGGCUAACUACGUGCCAGCAGCCGCGGUAAUACGUAGGUGGCAAGCGUUGUCCGGAAUUAUUGGGCGUAAAGCGCGCGCAGGCGGCCUUUUAAGUCUGAUGUGAAAGCCCCCGGCUCAACCGGGGAGGGCCAUUGGAAACUGGAAGGCUUGAGUACAGAAGAGAA